rnacentral:lncRNA from 1 species
GCAAAGCAAAAACAGAGGACUCGAGGAUUCGGCAAAUCAGCAAAGCAAAAACAGAGGACUCGGAUCGCCAGCAAAUGACUUGGAUCGCUAAGUCAUAAAGUCAAAUCAGUGGCAAAGAUCUUAUAAAGAAGACCAGCCUGGAUCGACGAUCAAUGAACGAAGAUGCUCAAGGAAUCAAUGACUCGGAUCGCCAAAAUCAAUGACUCGGAUGAUCGUCAAAGUCUUUAACAUAGUCAACUAGGCUUUUCUGUUAAAGUAGUUACUAUAUUCAGUUUUCCUCUGUAACCAAGUUCUGUUACAUAUCCUGAUAUAAAUACUCUGCUUUGCUUU